rnacentral:misc_RNA from 1 species
GAAAUGCGAUAAGUAGUGUGAAUUGCAGACUUUAGUGAAUCAUCGAAUCUUUGAACGCACAUUGCGCCCGCCAGUAUUCUGGCGGGCAUGCCUGUUCGAGCGCCAUUACAACCCUCAGGCCCCCGGGCCUGGCGUUGGGGAUCGGCGGAAGCCCCCUGCGGGCACAACGCCGUCCCCCAAAUACAGUGGCGGUCCCGCCGCAGCUUCCAUUGCGUAGUAGCUAACACCUCGCAACUGGAGAGCGGCGCGGCCACGCCGUAAAACACCCAACUUCUGAAUGUUGACCUCGAAUCAGGUAGGAAUACCCGCUGAACUUAAGC